rnacentral:rRNA from 14 species
AGACGCGAGUACCCACUGAAUUUAAGCAUAUCAGUAAGUGGUGGAAAAGACACAAACUUGAAUAGCCCUAGUAACGGCGAGUGAACAGGCUAGAGCCCAGCGCCGAAGCCACUUGCCGUCUCGGUAAGUUGCAAUGUGGCGUAUGGGAAGGACCGCUUCGGGGAUUGGCUGCGAGCCCAAGUCCCCCUGACUGGGGCCGUCACCCAUGGAGGGUGCCAGGCCCGUGUGGCUUGCUGGCUGUCUCCGUUUGGUUCUCUCCCGAGAGUCGGGUUGCUUGAGAGUGCAGCCCUAAGCGGGUGGUAAACUCCACCUAAGGCUAAAUACUGACCGCGAGUCCGAUAGCGAACAAGUACCGUGAGGGAAAGUUGCAAAGAACUUUGAAGAGAGAGUUCAAGAGUACGUGAAACCGCUCAGAGGUAAACGGGUGGAACCUCGAAGGUCGAAGGGAGGGAUUCAACCUGACUGCUUUGGUUGCCCAGGUGUGUUUCCAGAGUCGGACUGAGCAUCUGUCCAUUUGGUAUGGGUGUGCGGUUUGGCCUGGUGGCAUCUGGUGUGGCAGCUGUUGGGCGCACUUCCCUCCCGGUAGGACGCUGCGACCGGUCGGGAGCUGAAUGGGGUCUCAUAAGUCAGUGCCAAUGCAGGUGCCCAGUUGUCUGUCCCUCGGGAUAGCGGCUGCGGUUUUAGCGGGCACUGUCGGAUGACCUCCCCGACUGAGGACCGGAUGGUGGCCCGCACCCGCUUAAUGUGAGCGUGGGUUGUACUCCUGGGGCGAGUGUCAUGUCAAUGUGGCGAUCCGCUUCGCUCAUGUGGUGGGCGGCCGCUGCUUGAUGUCCGCUGCCCUGCCCUUGGGAGUGGCUCCCACUGUGGUGCUUGGGGUCUGCAGCGAGUAGGUCGGUCCUCCACCCGACCCGUCUUGUAACACGGACCAAGG